ensembl:misc_RNA Metazoa_SRP Metazoan signal recognition particle RNA
GCCGGGCGUGGAGGUGCAUGCCUGUAAUCCCAGCUACUUUGGAGGCUGAGGCACGAGAAUUGCUUGAACCCAGGAGGUAGAGGCUUCAGUGAGCCAAGAUCAGGCCACUGUACUCCAGCCUGGGUGACACAGUGAGACUCUGUCUCAA